rnacentral:rRNA from 1 species
UGUCGUGAGAUGUUGGGUUAAGUCCGCAACGAGCGCAACCCUCGCCNUCAGUUGCCAGCAUGUUUGGGUGGGCACUCUGAAGGAACUGCCGGUGACAAGCCGGAGGAAGGUGGGGAUGACGUCAAGUCCUCAUGGCCCNUAUGUCCUGGGCUACACACGUGCUACUAUGGCGGUGACWGUGGGAAGCCAGGUGGUGACACCGAGCUGAUCUCAAAAAGCCGNCUCWGUUCGGAUUGCACUCUGCUACUCGAGUGCAUGAAGGUGGAAUCGCUAGUUAUCGCGGAUCUGCAUGCNGCGGUGAAU